GUUUUGGCACCUGUUCCCACUAACUUACUUUCGUGACUUGGAUUAUGACCUCCCCAUGUAAGGGAAGGCAGUAUAGUUACUGCCCCAUCCCCAUUCCUACCACUGAAAUAAAAUUCAUGUCUCCUACACUUCUAAACACUACUAGAUUCAAAUAGGCUGACAAUCUGCAACUCCACCUAAAGAUCUCUCAAAUCUUGCAGAAGCAAAUGGGGCAUGCAUGUUUCUCUUCAAAUCUUCUCAACCCUCCUUGGACUUCAGCCAUUGCUGCCCCAACCCAUUCUAUACUGCUUUGACCACCUUUGCACAAGCAUAACCUGACAGACUUCUCUUAGAACCACACAGUUUACCUACAUCUCACUUUCUACUCCAGAGCUUCUCCAGUACAAUGAUGUGGGAUACUGUGGCAAUUCGCCUGGCACACAGGAUGUUAAUUCCCAAAGGUCACCCUUGAUCAGUGGAAGAUGGGACUCACAGGAAUCCAGUGUGUAAAUAUGUUUCCAUUUCUUCUGUCAAAAAAUAAUUCAGAGACUCAUCUAAUAAUGCUCCCCAAGGUGGUCACUUGCAGUGGUGUCCAAUACAAUUGGCCUACUGUCCUUUCACUUUACUAUCCAUAACUCUUCCUCUUCCCUCUAAGAUCUCGUUCUACCCUAAGGACUUAACAUACACAACUCUGGCUCAGCCUCUGUAUUUGAAGAAACCCAGGUUAAAACAGAGAUACCAAAAGUAGCCACAGAAAGCUGUCAGGAUGGGAUUUUGGAACUAGCAAUAAGCACUAAUUGCUGGUUGUAAGUAAGGUAGGCAUAACUUCAAUAGUUUCAUAUAUCCAAAAAUAGUCCUACAAAUAACAUAUUCUAAUAAAUCAUAUAACAAUCAUAUAAUGUUUUUAAUCUCUCAAUAAUAAAAAUGUAUCAACUAUGCUAGAGGAAACUUUGAAUUAUCUUUCUAGUUUCUCUGUAGAAAAUGUUACAAAGUUGUCAUAUGGAGAAGAAAUCAAAGUGUAUACAGCUAUAAAAAGUAAGAUUAAUAGUAUUAUGCAUUUGAGAUUGGGCAUAAAUUUUAUGUUUUUUUUUUUAUUUUCUAGUGUUUUGUGGUAUUAUUUCAGGGGUUGGUAAGUGACCUGAGCUAGUCUAAUUUGAAUUUCAGAUCUUAUGAUGAUGAACGGUCAUUUUCGCUGGAUUCAAACCUGAAAGAUUAUUGUCCGAGGGGCUAUAAGCUACUUUCUUGAAAGCAUGUAGACUUAGAUAAUGGAGCCAAUAGCAAAUAGGAAAUGCCUAAAAAUUAAGAAAGAAGAAAAUAAUUUGACUCCUAGAAUAAGUGGAAUCUGAAACCACUGUUCCAUUAUAUGAGGCAAUAAAUUCCUCUUUCUUAGACAUUUGAGUUGGAUUUUCCAUUACUCACUACAGAAAGCAAAGGUACACAGGGAUUACUAUCCUCUUGAACACAAUGAAUGACAAAACAUUUGGCUUUCUGGUAUAAAAACCAUAUCUAAUUAUUUCCAAUGUUAUUUCAAACAUGGCCCAUGACAUCCUGAGUAAACUGUACUUAUUCCUCAUUCUUAAUUUUCUUAUGAUUGCUUCAGGGAAAACUAUUUUGGUUUUCAUUAGUUUAUUUUCUCUGAUUUGCAUUCUUAUAGCACCUUAUAUUUCAUUUUUAUAUUAUAUAUAAAUAGAUGAUAGAUUGAUAAAUGGGUAGACAGAUGAUAGAUAGAUGAUAAAUUUGUCUUCUGUAUCUCCCAUAAGACUUUAAGCUCCAAGAGGGAGGCUUACCAUCUUCAUUUAUUUUCAAAGGUAUAUGCCUGGCAUCAAGCCCAAUGUCUGUAUGAAAAGAAUACUAGUUAAGUGAGAAAAUAGUGCCUGAUGGAAUGAUAGAAUGAAUGAAUUAUUUAACUCAUAUAAACAUGAAAAGCCAGAAUCUUCAAAUUGCUAAUAAAUACAUGAGUAUGUAUAUACCCAUAUACAAUUAUGUAUGUAUACUUAUUUUAUACAUAUUUGUGUAUGUAUGUGUGUACAUAUAUAGAUACAUAUAUGUGUGAACUUAUAUAUGUAGACACACAGAGAAACAUACAUGUUAAAGAAUGUGGAGGGAAGAUCUAUACAGGCCUGAAUGCCAUGUAAUAGUCACAGUGCUCAGGAUCCCUUGAAAACCCAUUUGAUCUUAGAGUGGAGUAGGUAGUAGAGCAGAUGACAGAAAAAGAGGAAGGUAUGCUCUAAAUGCAAUCAGCAAAUACUAUUUUGUUUUAUGUUGAGAUAUUUUUUUCUACACAAAUUACAUAAGAAAAUUACACUACCUUGGUAUAAUAUGUGUGAUGAGGAUGGCUAAACAUUUGCAAUAAGAAUAAGUCAUUAAAUAUCCUGGGGCGAAAAUACCCAUAAU
rnacentral:lncRNA from 1 species